CAAAAACUACAGAUUCCAUCAUGCUACAAAUUCAAAUCACUUUUUUUCACAAAGGAUGAGUCAUAAAAUUUAUGACAUACUAGGCCUAAUCUAAUUCAAUGAAAAUCGCUCAUAAUAGUACAAUAAAGCACUUGGAUUUUUGGUAAGUUCCACUUAAUGAUAGGUUAAAGGUACUGUAUCUUUUAAAGGUUUGGGUUUUCCAGGGUCAAAAGUGUCUCAUUUUAAUAAUUAAAUGAAAUAAAUAUGGAAAUGUAGAUGAAGUGCAGUGCUAAGAGGCUAUUGCUCACUUGAAACUGAAGUGGCCACACUGCAGAAGAUAACUCAUUUGCAUGAAUGUCUCAUUUUGCCUUCACAUGCACACUUACUCACCUAUGCAGACACAAUCCCCUUUCUAUCUCUCAUCAGAGGUCAGAGCUCAGACCCACCACUUCAUACCUCAUCCGCAGACAAUUCAUCAUUUCUCAGAAUCUAUCCUAUGUACCCUGUACGCCUCUGACUUCUGCUAUAACUCUGAAUUAUGCCAUAUUCAAAAGUUUACAGACAACACGGCCAUUAUGGGGUGUAUCUGGGAUGACCAGGAAAAGGAGUACAGGAGUCUGGUGAGGGAUAUAGCUAAGCAGGUCACAUUCUGUGGCUCAGUCUUUCACCAAAGAAGCGAUUCUCUUACCAGACUAUCUAACUGCACAUGUGCCAAGGCGUAACAAAAAAACUUGGCUUUUUGAAAAUGGACAUAUAAAAUCUGCACUGGUACUCAGACAAAGUAAUGCAGGCAGUAAGGACUGUCUUCCAGCCAGUUGUUGAAGGAUGCAGGUAAGCUUUAGAUCCUUUUUUAUAAAAAGAUUUUUUUUUGUUACUUGGAUUAUUAUACUAUUAAAGGUCAACUUUGGGUAUUUCCAAAAAGGAUCUGGGAGCACUGAUCAGAUGACUGGAUUGAUAUCUUUUAGAGUUAACAAAAAUUAAGCCUUUUAAUGUACUGUAUUGUAUUGCAGUCUGUUAGCCUUAACAAAAAUUUCAUAUACACUGUUUUCUUCCUCCCCUAGGCUACAGAUUUUGCUGGCAUGCCACACCAAACUAGUUGAGCCAUCACUCACUUCCAAACAGACUUUGAAUGAAGACCUUGUGACUUCAUCAGAAGUCAAUUUAUGUCAGACCUGACAAGGUGAUUUUAUGUGAGGACAAUGAAUUAGAGAUGGCACGAUACCACUUUUUUAUGUCCGAUACCGAUACCGAUAUCAUAAAUUUGGAUAUCUGCCGAUACCGAUAUGAAUCCGAUAUAGUGUUUUUUAAUCAACAAAACUGUUUUUUAAAAUAUCUUGCUGCAUUUUGCAAGUCUGCAAGUUCAUACUCAAGUUUAAAACAACAACUACACUAAAGCUAUUCUGUUAUACCUGUAUACAAAAAAAAUAUUUCAUAGUUCAGCAAUACUGAUCAAUCUAAUAAACUUAGACCUACACCAUCCUCCCUAUUCUGGUAUUUUAAAGAGUACUUAGCGUAAAUAUUAAGCAACCUAACUAAUAGGGUUCCAACUCCCAGCAACAACAAAAAUAAAUAAAUAAAAAAUAGGGAACCACCCCUCACGCGCCACCUCAUGAUGCUUAAUCGACGUAAUCAACCUUAAUUUGAUGCAGUGUGAAAAAAAAUGCACAGAAAUCAAUUCUUUUUCAAGAAAUAUUAAAUAGAUUCAACAUCUUUCUUCAACAAAAUUGCAGACUGCACAGAUGGUACCUUCCCAAAGGAAAAAGUACUAUAGCUUACUAGGGUAUAUAUAUUAGACUUAAUAGUCACUAUGUACAGUAAUUGACUUCUAUUCAUUUUACAUCAAAUUAAAACUUUGGGUGUCAGAUAAUUAUUUAUUAAAAGCUAGACAUUUUAAAUGAGAAUAAGAAAGAAAAGUAUGUCUUUGUGCCCCCUUUUCCCAGUUAAUGCCCUAUCGGCCCCCCUGGCUAAACUUUGCUAGAUCCGCCCCUGCACAGUUACCAGCCAUCAGCUACGUAGAAAAAGAUCCUCGAGUAGAAAGUAAUAUUAAAUAAAUUCUAACAACAGCUUAUCAAGCUUAAACGUGCUGCUGUUGUUCAGCCGCUGGUUUCCUCUUUCUGGUGCAAAGUGGGCCAAAAACAAACCAGAGAGACGGACUCGCGACAGAAAAGCCGAUCAGCUGAUCAUUUAAGCAGUUUCACGAUUGAAGUAGCAGCCGGAGAGCGAGAGGCAGUCGCUUGUUAAGCUUAACGUGGGAAUGCUUUACAAACAUUCAGAGAUGGACUUACACACUUGCUUUACUUCUCUCGGGGAUAACUUUGUCGGAGAUGAAAUGCCAGGUUGCUAGCGAAGCUCCACAUGCUAUCCAGACCACCGACAGGUCCCGCAUGCCACAGCUGCUCUAUCACGUGAUGCAUACGUUCUGAGGUGAGUUAAGGCGUGUUGCAAGUUUUGUGAGGUGCUUUCGUGAUAUUUAAUGGAUCGGAUUACAUUUUUUAUUUUUCUCCGAUAUCCGAUCCAGUAAUUUAGGUCAGUAUCGGACCGAUACCGAUACGUAAUAUCGGAUCGGUCCAUCUCUACAAUGAAUCAGUAAGUAAUCCUGAGCAUUUCAGCAAAUGUAUGCAUGUUCAUAAAAUGAGAGUGAAAAAGGCAAAGAUGGAUUUUAAACUCCCUUAAACAUUGUCACUUGUAUUAUGUUUUAAUACAUAAUACAUAAACAUAUUACUAAUAUUUACUAUGCCAUUUUCUUGUCAGUAUAAUGAAAUGUAUUAUCUGUUUUAAUUUACAGGCUUAUUCUGAUGGAGAGAGUAGCCAUACAAGCAGGCAGGAUUUCACAGAAACGUUGAAUUCUGACAAAUGUGGUGAAAUUUCUAAAGACGUUACCUCAGCCAUUCCCAUUGUUAACACACAGUCCAUGUCUGUUGAUGAUGAGGUCAUCUGUUGCGUUGCUACUGCCACUGUCAGUGACAACACACCUGGCGUAUCAGUGGGUUCUUCUGCCAGUGUUACUGGUGACACACGUGUCUUCUCUAGUAACACCUCCAGUGUGUCCAAUGGACCUACCCAGCCAAGUUUAUCCAGCACAUCCUACAGUACAUAUCUUGGCCUGUUUGAGGAAGAAUACCUGUCAAAUGACCCCGACCUCCAAGAAGCCAUUUCAAGGUCUUUAGACGUGCAAGUAAAAGGUCAGUACAACAAAAACUUUUACUUGUCAUGUUGAAAGGUCAACAUAUUAACCAUUAUUUUAUGUUUGUUGCAGAAAAGGAGUCACCUACUAUCUAGUUUUGGAUCAGUUUGAAUAAGCAAACUACAAACUGCAACCUACGAUUUCUGUUGUCGUUUGAAGAUUACCAAGGCUAUCAGAUUAAUUAUAUUUUACUUGAUAUAUGUUUUGGUUUAUUUUUAGUGGCUUUAGUGAAAUGUUAGAUACAAAGGUUUGAAUCUGUAAAAAGAAUAAAGAAAAGAAUAUCUGGUCAUUAAACUUCUGUGCUAAUACUCUUAUUUUAUAACUCUGACCACCUGCAGCCUCUAUGAUAGUCAUUACUAUGCUGUCAUAGUUUUGAUUUCGGGCUGCUGUAGCAUUGUCCUCUCUUAUUUGCAACCCUGUCCUUAUUUUAACUCCAUCUGGUUUUUGGCUUUGACUGAUUGGAGAUAAUGAAUUGUAUUAUUUUUGCACCACACGUUGGCUAGCUUGACAUCAUAAGUGAUGUGAUAACACAACUGCAAGCAGUGUCAUCAUGCUGGUAGAAACUUGCCUUUUUUUAAAAUUAUGUAGCAGUUAUUUAUAUACUUAGCAAACACAUGUCCACACAACAAAGGUAUUUUCCCUAUUUACAUUUCCAUGCUGUGAAUAAAUAGUAUAGAGUAUUUUGUUGUUUAUGUAUAUUUGUUGUUUAUGUAUAAUUAAGC
ensembl:lncRNA